rnacentral:rRNA from 1 species
GGGGGAGCAAGCGUUGUUCGGAUUUACUGGGCGUAAAGGGCGCGUAGGCGGCCAGCGCAAGUCAGUUGUGAAAUCUCCGGGCUUAACUCGGAACGGUCAACUGAUACUGCGCGGCUAGAGUGCAGAAGGGGCAACUGGAAUUCUCGGUGUAGCGGUGAAAUGCGUAGAUAUCGAGAGGAACACCUGCGGCGAAGGCGGGUUGCUGGGCUGACACUGACGCUGAGGCGCGAAAGCCAGGGGAGCGAACGGGAUUAGAUACCCCGGUAGUCCUGGCCUUAAACGAUGGAUGCUUGGUGUCUGGAGUUUUAUAGUCUCCGGGUGCCGUAGCUAACGCGUUAAGCAUCCCGCCUGGGGAGUACGGUCGCAAGACUG